AACGGAAUACCAAAGUGCAUUUUCCUCGGUCUAGGAGAGUAGAGGGCAAAAACAAAAUAAACUAGUAGAGAGAAUAAGGGAAAAAACUCACCGAGAAGUAUCACUCACUCUCGGUGUCUUCGGGUUGUUUCCGUUUUCUCUGACUGCUAUCUAUCAACGUCGGAACCCUAAUUCGAUCCGACGGACCUCCAAGCCUCCGUAGAUGACUGUAAGAUUGGGGCAUAGUUGAGAUCAAACUGGCUGGAUUUCCUCGCCGGAUGGAGGGAGGUAGCGUCUCUAGACUUACUUGUUCUGGGAUACAUCCAUGGAUUAUGAUGACAAUGAAAGCCGGAAUCUUCAUUUAGCUGGUGAAGGGAGCACCAAAUUUCCUCCAGUACUAAGGCCAUAUGCUCUACCUAAAUUUGAGUUUGAUGAGAACCUUCAAGGGCAUUUAAGAUUUGAUAGUUUGGUUGAAACUGAAGCUUUCCUUGGCAUUGAAAGUCACGAAGAUAACCAGUGGAUUGACGCAUUCUCUCGGGGAAGUAGUGGCAUAGAGUUUAGUUCAGCUGCAGCUGAGUCAUGCUCUAUAUCAAGGCAUAACAAUGUUUGGUCUGAGGCUACUUCCUCAGAAUCUGUUGAAAUGUUAUUAAAAUCUGUUGGGCAGGAGGAACUUAUUCCUAGGCAAGUUGUUGAGGAAUCUGAUGCCUGUGAUGAACUGGCUUGCUUAACUAAGCAAAUGAAGCCCAAUCCUAAAUCUGAUGUUAAAAGUGUACUAGAAAAAGAUGUUAAAGAUUUGCAUCCACCUGCUGUUAUUCAUGGAAGCUUGUCUGGAUUGAAGGAGGAAGUUGGAAGGGAGCUGUCUCAGGCUCAUGUUUCCCAAGGUCAUGGAGUUGACUCAUCCAUUAUUGGAAGCUCUAGUAAUCUGGAAAGUAAUGAUAUGUGCAGAAAUAUUAACUUGCCUGUUUCUGAGGGAAGUCUUUAUACUGAUGGCAAAUGUAACGAGGUAAACCAAGUAGUUGGGGCUUUGGCUGAUGACUCACUGGAUGACAAAGUUCGUGAGUUAUCUACAUCUGGGGUGCAGGCUAAUGCUUCUGUGGCAUCUCUGCAGAGUAACUCUUCUACUUGUGAUGUGUUGAACAAUCAAAAUUUAGAAAAUUGUGUAAUUGGUAUUGGUGAUGUGCAGCAAGGUUGUUUGCCAGCAAAAUUUGAUAAGCAAGAUAUGAAAUCUUCUACAUUGAACAAAGAUGCUCACGUUGACGCCCAAACUUCAGAUGGAAUUGCAGCUGCAAGUGAUGCACAUUCUCUAGAUAAACAACCUCUUUGUUCAGUCUCUACAGAACAAGCUCUGGAAGGUGUAAAGGCAGUUGAGGGCCUUGAUGCUGGCAUGAAUGGUGUGGUAUCAGGUUCUGACUUGCUUGAAGCAAAAAGAUGCAAUGAAGAUAUAUCUUCCAAAAAUUCAGAUGGGGAUGCUGCAAAUGUAGAUGCAGUGAUAGAUGAUAGACCCAUACAAAAUCUAUGUGACUUGCCUAAGGCUGAAAUUAAAGGUGACACUAGUUCAAAGGGACAACUAGCUGAGACAAGUAAUUCCAACCAUGCGAUUUCUUCUGAUCAGCAGCCGGAUGUGAUUACCAUUGAGAGGAAUACAUAUGGUGGGAGCAAUGCCAGUAAAGAAAAGGCAGUUUUAAACAGUGAUCAUCCAAUGGAAAAGGAGAUUUUAGUCAGUCAGUCUGAGGAUCAUGUAAUUAGGGAGGAAGACAAUAAUAUUUUUAAUAAGAGUGAAGGAAAUAGUGAUAACAGAGUAAGAGAUCUUUCCAUGGUGGCUUCUUCUACAAAAUCUCUUGGUAUGAGUGGAUCAAUCCAAACAUGCGAAAACGAUGACGUUUAUGGGCAGGGUGAACAAGAAAACUUACAAAAAGAUGUUUCUUUAAAUGAGGAAAUGAGUACAAAGGUACCUACUGUUUCUAGUCAAAAGCAUUGUGACAUCAGCCAAUCCCAUUUGGUUGAUAAGGGAGUUGGUUCAUCAUCUCUGAGUGCUGGGAGCAAGGAAACUGAGUUGACAACUUCCACAGCUUUAGCCAGUGGCAUGGCUGUCAAUGAUUCAGCUUCAAAAGUUAUGUUGGAAAAUAUUUGUCCGGUUCCCUGUAAGACAAUGGAUGCUCCACCUCCUUCUAUCAAUGUCUUUUCCAUCAAUGAAGUUACUGGUAACAAUAAUGUCCCAAAGAAUACAUCUUCUAUGUCUGCAGCAGUUGAUGUAAAACAAGAUUCGGCCAAAAUAGUUACAGAAGUAGCCACAGCUACUGGGGUUGGGUCUACUGAAAAGGAAGCUUUUUCUGUUAAUGGAACUGAAAUGCAUGCAUCUUCUGAUGCUUUUGCAAAACUUUCAUGCAAAACAGUGAACAAUUGUCUGCUGGUUGAGGGGACCAGUGGUGCUGAAAAGUUAAGUGAACCUCAGGGAGCACAAGUUGAUGAGGUUAUUCGUGAGUGUGCAAGUGUGAGUGGUGUGCCUUCAGUUCCAUGUGGAUCAACUGUGAAAAAGAGUGAUGAAGUUGCAAUUUCUUUUGAUAAACAUGACAAGGAAAGGCAUGAAAAGUCAUCCUCAAAACUCUCAGGUGACAUUUUGCAUGCAAGCCAAGUUUCCAGGCCUUCUGCUCCUUUGCCUGAUUCUCAUGUUGCUUUGCAACAGGUUGGAGAUGUUUCUACUUGUACUGCUAAUAUUACUAGCAGUUCCUCCAUCACAGCUGGAAAUUCUUCUCGGACUGAUAAUGAUAGGAAUCAGGUUAAGGCAUCCACUGAUCAGAAUCCCUCAGUUUCUGAGGGCAUCAAUAGGGAUGCAAGUGCAACAGAUGUGCCGUCUAUUGGUUCUGAUUCAAAGGAAAGUAAAGCAUCCAAAAAUGACAAAAGUUUAACUUCUGAGGUCAAUCCAAUGACAGAUUUGUCCAAAACAGGUGUUACAAAUCUGACUACAAAAGAUGUCAGAAAGAGUCAAUCACUUCCUGCUGCUGUGGCCAGCAAAGCAUCAACAGUUGAGGUAUCUCCUACAACUUCUGUGUUAGGCCCUACAAAAACUAAAACUGCAGGAGAUAUAUCCCACAGAAUUAAUGCUUCCAAAGGUACAUCUGAGCGCAAGACUAGGCGAACUUAUAAUAAGACACCAAGAAAGGAGUCCUCUAGGAAAGGGAGCGUUGCAAAAGAAGCAACUCCAGCUAGACAACCAGAAAGAGGGGAUAAAUCAAGUAAUGUCUCCUUGAGCCCAUCUUCCAGUCUCCAGCUGAUGCAAUCCAGUGAGAUGCAGCAGUACGGACAUAUUGAUUCCAGCAGCACCAAACCCUUUCCUUUUCUAAAUGCUUCAACAUCUGGUCUUCCAGAUUUGAAUACUUCUGCUUCUCCAUCUGUUCUGUCUCAACAGCCUUUUACAGAUUUACAGCAAGUACAAUUGCGUGCACAGAUCUUUGUGUAUGGAGCUUUGAUUCAAGGCAUGGCACCUGAUGAGGCAUAUAUGAUAUCAGCUUUUGGGGGUCCAGGUGGUGGAAGGAGCAUGUGGGAGAAAGCCUGGCGUGCAUGCAUAGAAAGACAGCUUGGCGAAAAAUCUCAUUCACUUAACCUAGAAGCACCCCAGCUGUCACGAUGUGUUAAGCAGAGCACACUACAAGGCAAUGCUAUCUCCUCACCUUCUGGUCUAGCAAGCAGCAAUGCUACUCCACCAAUUGUAAAUCCUUUAAUGUCUCUUUCAUCUCCCCUUUGGACUAUACCAACUCCUUGUGAUUCCCUUCAAUCCAGUGCUCUUGCAAGAGGUUCUGUUGUGGAUUACCCGCAGGCUCUUACUUCCCUACAUCCUUAUCAAACUUCACCUCUGAGGAAUUUUCUGGGACAUAAUACAUCUUGGAUAUCCCAGGCCCCCCUUCACGGACCAUGGAUUGCUUCUUCAACUCCUCCACCUGGUAACAGUUCUCAUCCUUCAGCAUCACCUGUUUCAGGUACAGUUAAGUUGAGUUCUGUAAAAGGAUCGCCUUUGCCUCCUUCCUCUGGUAUGAAGAAUGUUAUUUCUAGUAUCCCAUCUUCCACUGGAGGUCCACAGAGCAUGCUUGUUGCGACUGCUCCUCUACACAAUACAAAUGUAACAGUAUCACCUGCUCAGCAUUCUUCUGAUCCAAAGCCCAAAAAAAGAAAGAAGGUUCUGAUAUCUGAGGAUCUUAGCCAGAAGGCAUUGCAGUCACAAUCUCAAUUAGAGUUGACUUCUGCUGUUAGUAGCCAUAUAUCUACUUCCAUUGCCAUCACAACUGCUGUCAGUAAUGUGCCCAAAACAAAUACAGAAAAAUCAGUUGUGUCAGUAUCCACUCUAUCUCCUGCUGAUCACGCCCAAAAUGAUAAGAUGAUAGAGAAGAGGGCUUUGUCAGAUGAAUCCCUUGGUAAAGUUAAGGAAGCUAUAGCACAUGCAGAGGAAGCUGCUGCUUCUUCUGCUGCUGCUGUCUGUCAUAGCCUAGAGAUAUGGAAUCAGUUAGAUAAGCAGAAAAACUCUGGAUUGGUAUCGGAUAUUGAAGCCAAACUAGCUUCUGCAGCCAUUGCAGUUGCUGCUGCAGCAGCUGUUGCAAAGGCGGCGGCUGCUGCCAGCAAUGUUGCCUCAAAUGCUGCAUUGCAAGCAAAACUGAUGGCUGAUGAAGCUUUGAUCUCAUCUGGUAAUCAGAAUCCCUGCCAAAGUAUUGAACUUUCUGACAGUAUUAAUAAAUUUGGAAAAGCUACUCCUGCAUCUAUCUUGAGAGGUACUAAUGGAACCAAUAAUUCCAUCAUGGUUGCUGCCAAGGAGGCUGUUAGAAGGAGAGUAGAAGCUGCUUCAGUUGCUGUAAAGCAAGCUGAAAACAUGGAAGCUAUUGUGAAGGCUGCUGAGCUGGCUGCAGAAGCUGUGUCUCGGGCAGGAAAGCUUGUAACUAUGGGUGAUCCUUUGCCAUUUAGUGACUUGAUAGAUGCUGCUCCUGAGGGUUUUCGGAGUGUAGCCCAAGCUUCUUCUCAGGAGGUUGGAUUAUUAAAAGAAAUGACCAGAGGUCUGGUAAACUUUGUUAAUGCUGGAGACAGCCCUGAAACUUCUCAUACACUGAACAAAGAUGGUUUUUCUGAUGAAAUGGAGAAGCAGAUGGCUACAAAUGAGCAACCACCUUUUCAUAAGUUGCAUAAUGAGAAAUUAAAGGAUCAUAUGAGACCAAUAGAUAGCAUUUCCAUUUCCAUUAACGGCAAUGGAAAAAAUACAAGAGGGCCAAAGGUCCACAAGGUUUCUGAACCAGUCACUUCAAUUGAUGUGGUUCCAGAAUCGGAUAUUGAAACACGGCUUGGAAAUGAAUCUGAUAAGCUGGAGGAGAAACUCAAGGAGGGUUCACUUAUAGAGGUUUUCAAAGAUGGAGAAGGAUGGAAAGCAGCAUGGUAUACAGCCAAUGUUUUGAGCCUGAAGGAUGGUGAUGCUUAUGUUUGCUACACUUCCCUUGUAGCUGAUGGAGGUGCCGGGCCCUUAAAGGAAUGGAUUGCAUUUAAAGGUGAAGUAGACAAGCCACCCAGAAUACGCAUUGCUCGCCCUUUAACUGACUUGCAUCAUGAAGGAACGAGGAAAAGACGUAGAGCAGCUAUGGGAGAUUUUGCUUGGUCUAUUGGCGAUAGAGUUGAUGCAUGGAUAGAAGAAAGCUGGCGGGAAGGAGUUGUGACAGGGAUCAAGAAAGAUGAAACAUUUACUGUUCACUUUCCUGCUACUGAGGAAACAUCAGUGGUUAGAGCAUGUUAUCUCCGUCCAUCACAAAUUUGGAAGGAUGGGAAGUGGACUGAAUGUUCUAGGGUGGGAGCAAAUGACCAUUCUACCCAUGAGGGUGAUACACCACUUGAAAAACGACUUAAACUGGGUGGUCCUAUGAAUGAUGAGUUGAGAUUACUUGAUUUGACUGAGAAUCAGAAAGUAUUUAACAUUGGUAAAGCCAGCAAGAAUGAACAUAAGCCUGAUACACACAGAACGGCAAGGACUGGCCUUCAGAAAGAAGGAUCUAGAGUGAUUUUUGGUGUUCCAAAGCCUGGAAAGAAAAGGAAAUUUAUGGAAGUAAGCAAGCAUUAUGUAGCUGAUAGGAGCAAUAAAAUUAAUGAUGGGAAUGAUUCGGUUAAGCUAGCAAAUUUCUUGAUGCCUCAAGUUCCUGGUUCUCGAGGAUGGAAAAGUAAUUCCAAGAAUGAUGCAAAGGAGAAACGAGGAGCCAAUCCCAAGUACAAGACUUCCAAGCCUGAAAAGUCACAUAUUAUUCUGGACCGUUCAAUCCCACCGCAAGACAAUAUUUUGGCAAAUGCAUUUUCUCAAUCCAACGACACAGAAAGGAUCAAGGAUGCAAACCAUUUUAAAAAUGCGUCAGAUAAUAGAACUCAAUUGGAGACAGCAUCCUACUCUUCGGUUGAUGGAGUAGCAGAGGGACCAAUCCUAUUUUCUUCACUGCCAACCUCUGUUGAUGCUCCUUCCUCUAAGAAGACAUCCACAUCAAGGGCAAGUAAAGGAAAACUUGCACCGGCUGGUGGAAAGUUGGACCAGAUUGAGGAGGAAAAAGUGUUGAACAGUGAUUCUGUAAAAUCAACAUCUGAAAUCAUUGAGCCCCGUAGAUCCAAUCGCCGAAUCCAGCCAACAUCAAGAGUGGCAGCUAUUAGAAGGACUGCAGAGUUCCUUGAUAAUCACCAAGGUUCCUUCCGUUUCACAUGACAAAAGUCACAAAAACCAGAGCCGCAAUGCUUCAAGGGGUUAGAGGCCUUAUGCAAGGAUUUCUAUUUCCGGGAAUAAUAACCAAGGGUGAUCGCUCUCGUUGCAGUGAUGCAGUUCAGUCAAAGUUGCACCUGUAGUUUGGACGACUGAUACACCCGGCGUAAAUGUGUAUAUUAUUACAGUAGGGAAGCUAGGAAUUAAAAUUCUUGCUUCUUUCGGUUUAGGCUAAACUAGUCAGGUAGAUGUUCAUAACGAUUCAGUUUUAGUCUUGUUUGUAAUGAAAUGAUCUCCUUGGGCCUUUGGCGUGUAGGCUGUGUAGGAAUAUUUUCCUUGUUAAUCUGUGGUCUGUAGAGGUUUGCCAAUGAUUAAAUGAUAACGUGAUGGCAUACUGACCUAUAGACUUUUUUCCAUUUUUUCUUUA